UCGAACGCGUCUUGGUUAUUGAUGUUAAGUGCUUGCAUUUAACUGAUUUAACAUUGAGACGAGUGGCGAACUGGUGAGUAACACGUGGGUAACCUGCCCUUGAAGUAGGGGAUAACACUUGGAAACAGGUGCUAAUACCGUAUAACAACCAAAACCACCUGGUUUUGGUUUAAAAGAUGGCUUCGGCUAUCACUUUAGGAUGGACCCGCGGCGUAUUAGCUUGUUGGUAAGGUAACGGCCUACCAAGGCAAUGAUACGUAGCCGACCUGAGAGGGUAAUCGGCCACAUUGGGACUGAGACACGGCCCAAACUCCUACGGGAGGCAGCAGUAGGGAAUCUUCCACAAUGGACGAAAGUCUGAUGGAGCAACGCCGCGUGAGUGAUGAAGGGUUUCGGCUCGUAAAACUCUGUUGUUGGAGAAGAACAGGUGUGAGAGUAACUGUUCACAUCUUGACGGUAUCCAACCAGAAAGCCACGGCUAACUACGUGCCAGCAGCCGCGGUAAUACGUAGGUGGCAAGCGUUGUCCGGAUUUAUUGGGCGUAAAGCGAGCGCAGGCGGUUUCUUAGGUCUGAUGUGAAAGCCUUCGGCUUAACCGGAGAAGUGCAUCGGAAACCAGGAGACUUGAGUGCAGAAGAGGACAGUGGAACUCCAUGUGUAGCGGUGAAAUGCGUAGAUAUAUGGAAGAACACCAGUGGCGAAGGCGGCUGUCUGGUCUGUAACUGACGCUGAGGCUCGAAAGCAUGGGUAGCGAACAGGAUUAGAUACCCUGGUAGUCCAUGCCGUAAACGAUGAGUGCUAAGUGUUGGAGGGUUUCCGCCCUUCAGUGCUGCAGCUAACGCAUUAAGCACUCCGCCUGGGGAGUACGAC
rnacentral:rRNA from 1 species